rnacentral:lncRNA from 1 species
GAGUCGGUGUUGGAGGGACAUAGUGGAGGAAAACUCAACUCUCCAUUGCUGGGUUUGAAGAUGAAGAAAGGGCUCCACUAGCCGAGGAAGCCCUUGUUGAAAAAUACAGCAGUCCUGAUAGAGAGUCCCAGGAGAGGAAAGCAGGGCCAGCACCGUGGAAAACACUGCAGCUCUGCACAAGUAGCAGCAAUCAAACUGUCAUGGGCCAACUCCUGAACUUGGAGGAACUGUAGAAUGCUACUGUCUGUGCUCUCACUGGAAAGGAAAUCAUUCCCUGAAUCCUCUGCUUCAUCUUGUACAAACACUAAGUGCUCAGCUGAAAAGCCCAGACCUGCUCUUGUUAGAUUAAGAAGAAUAAAAGAAGUG